AUGAUCGUUCUCAUCCAUGAAAUGUUUCAUCAUAGCUUUGGCUGUUACUGGUCUAAAGCAACCAGGGAACAUUAUUCUCUGAUCACAUUUUAUUUUGUGAUUAUUUAUUUCUGUUUUCUUUUUUUCUUAGGCAAAAUGAGAGUCUUUGAAUGCAAACAGUGCAAAGCAGAACAGUGGAUCAGUUCUUGCAUGAAAUAUAUGUGCCAAAAUGCCUUGUUAUUUCAGAGACAAGCUGGCAUGAAAAAUGAGUGAAUGAAUGGAACGGGGUAGCAAAGAAGAGAUUCAGAUUCCACUAAUGGAAAGUUUUGGAAUAGAAGGGAUUGAGAGACACUGCCAUAGUUUGCUUAAAAAUGAGACAGAGCAUUUUCAUUACUCCUGAAGGCUUUUAUUCAAGACAUACAAAAG
rnacentral:lncRNA from 1 species